rnacentral:rRNA from 1 species
UACGUAGGUGGCAAGCGUUGUCCGGAAUUAUUGGGCGUAAAGGGCUCGUAGGCGGUUUGUCGCGUCGGGAGUGAAAACACGGGGCUUAACUUCGUGCUUGCUUUCGAUACGGGCAGACUGGAGGCAUGCAGGGGAGAACGGAAUUCCCGGUGUAGUGGUGGAAUGCGUAGAGAUCGGGAGGAACCUCGAAAGCGAAGGCAGCCGGCUAGACGAUGAUUGACGCUGAGGGACGAUAGCGUGGGGAGCAAACAGG